rnacentral:rRNA from 1 species
AACGAACGCUGGCGGCAUGCCUAACACAUGCAAGUCGAACGAGACCUUCGGGUCUAGUGGCGCGCGGGUGCGUAACGCGUGGGAACCUGCCCUUAGGUUCGGAAUAACUCCCCGAAAGGGGUGCUAAUACCGGAUAAUGUCUUCGGACCAAAGAUUUAUCGCCUUUGGAUGGGCCCGCGUUGGAUUAGCUAGUUGGUAGGGUAAAAGCCUACCAAGGCGACGAUCCAUAGCUGGUCUGAGAGGAUGAUCAGCCACACUGGGACUAGACACGGCCCAGACUCCUACGGGAGGCAGCAGUGGGGAAUAUUGGACAAUGGGCGAAAGCCUGAUCCAGCAAUGCCGCGUGAGUGAUGAAGGCCUUAGGGUUGUAAAGCUCUUUUACCCGGGAUGAUAAUGACAGUACCGGGAGAAUAAGCUCCGGCUAACUCCGUG